UCCCUGGUGGCUCAGACAGUAAAGAAUCUGCCUGCAAAGCAGGAGACCUGGGUUCGAUCCCUGGGUUGGGAA
rnacentral:tRNA from 1 species